GAUGAACGCUGGCGGCGUGCCUAAUACAUGCAAGUCGAGCGAACGGACGAGAAGCUUGCUUCUCUGAUGUUAGCGGCGGACGGGUGAGUAACACGUGGAUAACCUACCUAUAAGACUGGGAUAACUUCGGGAAACCGGAGCUAAUACCGGAUGAUAUUUUGAACCGCAUGGUUCAAAAGUGAAAGACGGUCUUGCUGUCACUUAUAGAUGGAUCCGCGCUGCAUUAGCUAGUUGGUAAGGUAACGGCUUACCAAGGCAACGAUGCAUAGCCGACCUGAGAGGGUGAUCGGCCACACUGGAACUGAGAAACGGUCCAGACUCCUACGGGAGGCAGCAGUAGGGAAUCUUCCGCAAUGGGCGAAAGCCUGACGGAGCAACGCCGCGUGAGUGAUGAAGGUCUUCGGAUCGUAAAACUCUGUUAUUAGGGAAGAACAUAUGUGUAAGUAACUGUGCACAUCUUGACGGUACCUAAUCAGAAAGCCACGGCUAACUACGU
rnacentral:rRNA from 1 species